AAGUGCACUUGAAAGUUGACGAGCUUGGAUGCAUGGAUAAUGGGUUUCAUUUUUGAGAUCAAGAAAAUCCAAAUCCAAUUUGAGAGUCUUUUUGGGCAUGUCUGAUCUUAGAUUUGGCAAUCAAAAACUAGAAAACAAAAUCAAGAAGUGAGUAAUAUGGCCGAUGAAUAAGUUAGAACAGAACAAGAAGCAAAUAUGGUGUUUCUUGCUAGGGAGUCACAUGGAGAGGACAAGCUGAACACAAAAUCAGAAUUGCGCGGAGAAAAAGAAGUUGUCGAAAGAAUUACAACACCAUCAAGCAAAAAUUGGAUCAAUAGAAAAAGUUCCCAAAGAUUCAUGACAGAAGCCACACAGGGGUGUUAUAAAAGAGGUACAAAGAAGACACGAGCAAACAAUUGUUUUCGAGCCACUACCACCGUUUAAAUUGCCAGAUGUUGAUCCGCAGAAACUGCCAGA
rnacentral:lncRNA from 1 species